rnacentral:lncRNA from 1 species
GGAGAGACUAAUUGAAUAAAUUAAAAUUUACCAAGUAUUUAAAAGAGGACCGAUCGCUUUGGCGCUGUCGUGCUGAAUGACCGAAACCCCCGUUUCGGCGGGAAACUGACCACACGAUAGGUACGACACCUAUAUACAUCAUGAAAAGACAAGAGAAAAUAAUUUCACUCUAAUUCACUACGUUCAACCGUAUGAAAUUAU